rnacentral:rRNA from 1 species
UACGAAGGGGGCUAGCGUUGUUCGGAAUUACUGGGCGUAAAGCGCACGUAGGCGGCUCUGUAAGUUGGGGGUGAAAUCCCGAGGCUCAACCUCGGAAUUGCCUUCAAGACUGCAGGGCUUGAGUUCGGGAGAGGUGAGUGGAAUUCCCAGUGUAGAGGUGAAAUUCGUAGAGAUUGGGAAGAACACCAGUGGCGAAGGCGGCUCACUGGCCCGUAACUGACGCUGAGGUGCGAAAGCGUGGGGAGCAAACAGG